AGUAGUAAUCUGGCGGUUGACACUCUCGUUGCCUGUAUAGGCUGAUGGCCCACUCACCUUUUUAGCUGGGCUCCUGACCUGUCCGGCCAGAAAGUUGCCACUGGGAAACCUGGACCCCUACUGAAUGGAUCUGCUGGCACCUAGACCUCAGAGAAGGGGGAACUGAAGACUGAAGUCUGACCACUGUUCUUUGUUGAAAAUUUCUUUCUCAGGGGCUUGGAGGGAUCACAUCUACAAUCCUGAGCUAAUAUUCUCUUCUGCUGUCCCCAAAAUUUAAACGAAGCUUCUCUUAACCCAUUGCAAAUGAGAAAAAUCUUUGAAUCUACCUAUGACUAUAAGCCCUUAUUUCAAGAUAUCCUGCCUUUUUAGGCCAGAACCAAAGUGUAACCUCCAUCUAUUGAUUUACAAUUUUGCCUGUAACUUUGGCUUUCCUGAAAUUUACCCCAGCCUUAAAAAAAAAAAAGAACAGAAAAAGAAAACUGCAAGGCAUCAGGGAGGUCAGAAUUUGGGCAUGAGCUGCCUGAUCCUCCUUGCUUUGCAUCUUUGCAAAUAGAUGCCUUCAGCUGUGCAUGAUGGCUCACACCUCUCAUCCCAGCACUUUGGGAGGGCAAGGCGGGAGGAUUGCUCCAUCCCAGGAGUUCGAGAUCAGGGGCAAAAUGCCGAAACCCUGUCUCUACAAAAAAUUAAAAAAUUAGCUGGGCAUGAUGGUGCACUUCUGUAGUCCCAGCUACUUGGGAGGCUGAGGCAGGGGGAUUGCUUGAGCCCAAGAGGUUGAGGCUACAUGAGCCAUCAUCGUGCCACUGCACUCCAGCCUGGGAAACAGAAUGAGACCCUGUCUCAAAACAAAACAUUUGAAAAAUAACAAGUUCAGGUGCAGUGGCUCAUACCUGUAAUCCCAGCACUUUGGGAGGCCAAAGUGGUCGGAUCACUUGAGGCCAGGAGUUCAUGACCAGCCUGGCCAACAUGGCAAAACCCCAUCUCUACUAAAAAUACAAAAAUUAGCUGGGUGUGGUGGCUGGCAACUCUAGUCCCAGCUACUCCGGAGGCUGAGGCAGGAAAAUCACUUGAACCCAGGAGGCGGAGGUUGAAGUGAGCCGAGAUCACACCACUGCACUCCAGCCUGGGCAACAGAGCAAGACUCUGUCUCCAAAAAUAACAAAAAAUAAAUACAUGCCUUCCUUUCUACUGCUGCACAACCUCACUGUGUCAGGCAGGCAUCUCUGGAUCCAGCUGGUUUUUGUUUUGCUGAGGCUCAGCUUCUUCCUGGAACUUUUUGAAACAACACUCAAGGGUCUCAAAUGGCUGACAUGAUGGUCUGUGACCUGAAAGUUGUUGAAUAGUUGGAGUGUUCUGCAUUCAUGUGGAAGAGGCUAAAGGAUGUUUGAUGAAGCACUAUGGGCUGCCCUGGAAGAGGACUGAAGAAGCAGCUGCAGGAAAGAAACGUCCACUCUGCUCCAGUCAACCCCACUGCUGGUGUCCUCUGCACUGCCUUGCACUCCCUGAAGAGAGCCUGGGCAACAGAGCGAGACUCCAUCUC
rnacentral:lncRNA from 10 species